GGGGGGGGGGGGGGGGGGGGGUGGGAGGUGGGGGGGGGGGGGGGGGGGCCGGGUGGUGUGGGGUGGUCGGGUGGGGGAGGGGUGGGUGGGACGUGGGUGACGUGCCCUUGACGUUGGGGUCACUUCAGGAAACUGGGGCUCGUCCCGGAUCGGCGCUCCUGGUGCGUGGUGGGGGUUUGAGAGUUUCGGCGGGUGGGGAUGGGCUUGGGGCGUCUCAGCUGGUUGGGGGGGUAGUGGCUUACCAAGGCUUUGACGGGUAGCCGGCCUGAGAGGGUGACCGGCCACAUGGGGACUGAGAUACGGCCCAGACUCCUACGGGAGGCAGCAGUGGGGAAUAUUGCACAAUGGGCGGACGCCGGAUGCAGCAACGCCGCGUGCGGGAUGACGGCCUUCGGGUUGUAAACCGCUUUCGCCUGUGACGAAGCGUGAGUGACGGUAAUGGGUAAAGAAGCACCGGCUAACUACGUG
rnacentral:rRNA from 1 species